CCAAAAUGUAUUGUCAUGUAUUAUGGUAUUACUGUAGGUUCCUGGAUGCUACAGGUCAGGUCUCAUGCAAGCUUUCUCAAAACAUUUAAUUAAGAGACUAAACAUAACACAAGAAAUACCAGAGGAGUCAAUAGUUAGAGUGACUCUUUUAUCAAGAACAACCAAGCACAGACGAAUAGUGAAUGAAGAUGAAUUGAUAAAGGCAAUGAAAACAGUUGGAUAUUUCCGUCUUAGAGUAGUCGACUACAAAUACAGGUGCAACAAUA